rnacentral:rRNA from 1 species
GACGAACGCUGGCGGCGUGCUUAACACAUGCAAGUCGAGCGGAAAGGCCCCUUUGGGGGUACUCGAGCGGCGAACGGGUGAGUAACACGUGAGUAACCUGCCCCAGGCUUUGGGAUAACCCUCGGAAACGGGGGCUAAUACCGGAUAUGACUUCCUGCCGCAUGGUGGGGGGUGGAAAGUUUUUCGGCUUGGGAUGGGCUCGCGGCCUAUCAGCUUGUUGGUGGGGUGAUGGCCUACCAAGGCGGUGACGGGUAGCCGGCCUGAGAGGGCGACCGGCCACACUGGGACUGAGACACGGCCCAGCCUCCUACGGGAGGCAGCAGUGGGGAAUAUUGCACAAUGGGCGCAAGCCUGAUGCAGCGACGCCGCGUGAGGGAUGACGGCCUUCGGGUUGUAAACCUCUGUCGGCAGGGACGAAGCCGUAAGGUGACGGUACCUGUAGAAGAAGCGCCGGCCAACUACGUGCCAGCCGCCGCAGUAACAC